AAGAACUCCAAGUGUUUUUUAACCGCAAGAUUAAGGACUUUUCUCUCAUUUCAGGGUUGCUCAGACUUUGCAGCACCUUAGAAUUACCUGGUAAAAUUGGAAAGGACUGGUGUCUGGACCCCAGGCAGGAUCAGUUGUAUCUGUAGAUUAAGGGAAGGGGGUGUGGAAGGCAACAGCUCUUUGAAAUUUACCUAGGCGACAUAAAUAUGCAACUAAUUGUGACAGCCACAGCAUUAAGGUUGGAGAACAGCGAAUUCAUGGCAAUCAGUGAAGAAAGAACUGAUUAAAUUACUUUCUGGAUCACCUGGUGUGGACUCAAACCCAGGCAGGCACUCCUCCUCUGUGACCUCACUCAACUCUGACUCCCAGAACUCCAUAUCUGGCAGGAUGAGAAGUUAUCC
rnacentral:lncRNA from 1 species